AACACGGGAAUUUCCCUAAACGAAUUGAUGGGAAGUGCGGACGCAUUAACGUAAGAUUGAAACUUAAAGGAAUUUAAUGGCCGCGAAGUGGUGCCUGCAACUGUUGAUUCAAACAUAGGGAAACUUACCGGGUUCGAUACGUAAAAGGAUCGGCAGACAGAGAUCUCUUUCUUGACCUAUAGGUGGUAGUGCAUGGCCGUUCUUAAUUGGUGGAGUGAUUUGUCUAGUUAAUUUCAUUAAUGAACGAAACUUGACCAGCUAACAAGCUAUGUGGUGGUACUCUUCCGUGGCCAGCUUCUCAAAGGGACUAUGGCUGCUUAAGUCUUGGAAAUUUGACGCAAUAACAGGUCUGUGAUGCAUAUAGAUGUUUUGGACCGCAAGUGCGUUACACUAAUGUGUUCAAUGAGUCUAUAGUUUUAACCGACAUGCCUAAGCAAUCUUUAAAAUUUUAUCGUGAUGGAAUUAAACCAUUGCACUUUAUUAUCUUCAAUGAGGAAUUCCCAAUGAGAGCGACUCAUCGGCUCACGUUGCAGUGACUACGUCCAUGCCCUUUGUACGCACGGCCCGUCGCUUGGACUGAUUGAAUGAUGCAGUAAGGUGUUCAAAUCGUGGCGACACGAGUGCUAUGUCAUCAAAGACAUCAUGAGAAGUCUAUUAAACUUUUCAUUUACUAAGGUUUAAAUGAGGAAUUCCUAGUAAUCGUGAAGUGUUCGGAUCGUGG
rnacentral:ncRNA from 1 species